rnacentral:miRNA from 10 species
AGCUGGUGGAAUAGAUCUCGGC